GCCGGGCGCGGUGGCCACGCCUGUCAUCCCAGCGGCUCAGGAGGCUGAGGCAGGAGGCUGAGAGGUCAAAGCCUCUCAGCGAGGCCUUGUCUCUA
rnacentral:sRNA from 1 species